rnacentral:rRNA from 1 species
UGGGGAAUUUUGGACAAUGGGCGAAAGCCUGAUCCAGCAAUGCCGCGUGUGUGAAGAAGGCCUUCGGGUUGUAAAGCACUUUUGUCCGGAAAGAAAUCCUUGGCUCUAAUACAGUCGGGGGAUGACGGUACCGGAAGAAUAAGCACCGGCUAACUACGUGCCAGCAGCCGCGGUAAUACGUAGGGUGCAAGCGUUAAUCGGAAUUACUGGGCGUAAAGCGUGCGCAGGCGGUUUGCUAAGACCGAUGUGAAAUCCCCGGGCUCAACCUGGGAACUGCAUUGGUGACUGGCAGGCUAGAGUAUGGCAGAGGGGGGUAGAAUUCCACGUGUAGCAGUGAAAUGCGUAGAGAUGUGGAGGAAUACCGAUGGCGAAGGCAGCCCCCCUGGGCCAAUACUGACGCUCAUGCACGAAAGCGUGGGGAGCAAACAGGAUUAGAUACCCCUGGUAGUCCACGCCCUAAACGAUGUCAACUAGUUGUUGGGGAUUCAUUUCCUUAGUAACGUAGCUAACGCGUGAAGUUGACCGCCUGGGGAGUACGGUCGCAAGAUUAAAACUCAAGGAAUUGACGGGGUCAUAGCUGUUUCCU